rnacentral:rRNA from 1 species
UGCCAGACUCCUACGGGAGGCAGCAGUGGGGAAUAUUGGGCAAUGGGCGCAAGCCUGACCCAGCAACGCCGCGUGAAGGAAGAAGGCUUUCGGGUUGUAAACUUCUUUUCUGAGGGACGAAGAAAGUGACGGUACCUCAGGAAUAAGCCACGGCUAACUACGUGCCAGCAGCCGCGGUAAUACGUAGGUGGCAAGCGUUAUCCGGAUUUAUUGGGUGUAAAGGGCGUGUAGGCGGGAAAGCAAGUCAGAUGUGAAAACUCAGGGCUCAACCCUGAGCCUGCAUUUGAAACUGUUUUUCUUGAGUGCUGGAGAGGCAAUCGGAAUUCCGUGUGUAGCGGUGAAAUGCGUAGAUAUUAGGAGGAACACCAGUGGCGAAGGCGGCCUGCUGGACUGCAACUGACGUUGAGGCUCGAAGGCGUGGGGAGCAAACAGGAUUAGAUACCCGCGUAA